rnacentral:lncRNA from 1 species
CCCUGGCCGCCGUCCUGAUCCUCCACUCCCCCCGCCGCCUCACUCACCUUCUCCCCCAUCCCUCCCUCUCUCUCUCUUCCUUCUUAGCCGGAACACGCCACCAAUGUACCCGCCUCAGGAUCUAGCUCACCUCGUAGACCAGCUAGAUGAUCUCCGGGCGACGUGACUGAUUUGCCUCCGCCACUGGACCCUUCUCCUGUUCUUGAUCCCUCUACUGCACGAGCAGCAGCAGCGACGACGCGGACGAACAAGCCAAGAACUCUUCGAAGAGGAGGAGGAGAGACAGAGAUGGCUAGGCUCAGUAGCAGCAGCAGCCUAGAGUACCACCGCUGCACGGAGAGAGAGCGCGCUCUGCGCGGAGGAAGAGGAGGAGGUGGUGGUGGUGCGUGCUUGGCUGUGUCUGCGCGGCGCUGCGCUGCGGCCAGCGGCUAGCUUUACUCUGAUUUAGCGCCAUUUCUGCGACUUUUUUUCGAUUUCUCCAUGGGCUGCUGCGAAAACGAGGCCCGAGCCGGGAGGGCCACGUGGGGGCCGACC